rnacentral:misc_RNA from 1 species
GUGCUAGAUGAAGCAACAGCAUCAGUUGAUACAGCUACAGACAAUCUUAUUCAGAAGAUUAUUCGUACGGAGUUUAAGGAUUGCACAGUUUGCACAAUUGCACAUCGCAUUCCAACUGUUAUCGACAGUGAUCUUGUUUUGGUACUCAGUGAUGGUCGAGUUGCAGAGUUUGAUACUCCAGUACGGUUGUUAGAGGAUAAAUCAUCCAUGUUUCUAAAGCUGGUAACAGAGUAUUCAUCAAGGUCAAGUGGCAUACCGGACUUCUGAAUUAGAUGGCAUGGCCAAAAAUCCUUCAGGUUGGGGGCAGCAAGAGCAGACUGACAGCCACAAAGUGAAGCGGCCACUGCUGCAUUUGCAAACAGGAAGAGAAAAUGCUGCAGCAUCAGUCCUUGCACCAAAUCCCUAUUGGUGAACGUAAUCUCGGGUUGAGGGUGUUCAUCACUUAGAGCAGAAUGGGAGAAUUCAGGCGCAGUUGGCAUACUUUGAAAAGUAAAUAAGUUGGUGGGGUAAGGGUUUGGUAAUAAUUACACUGUAGGAGAAAAAUGGAGGGGUCUAUAUCUGUUCAAUGAUGUGCAAUAAACUAGUGUUUAGGUAAAGCAGGAUUUUGUUUUUGGCUUAAGAAAUUUGUAGAGCUGAACUAGUCAAAUGUCAAUCCCACUUUAUUCUAGUGGCAUAAUU